CCCUUAGAUGUUCUGGGCCGCACGCGCGCUACACUGACGAAGUCAGCGAGCAUGUCCUACGCCGACAGGUGCGGGGAAUCUUGUCAAACUUCGUCGUGAUGGGGAUUGAUUAUUGAAAUUCUUGAUCAUCAACGAGGAAUUCCUAGUAAGCGCAAGUCAGCAGCUUGCGUUGAUUACGUCCCUGCCCUUUGUACACACCGCCCGUCGCUACUACCGAUUGGAUGGUCCGGUGAAGCCUCGGGAUUGUGGUUCUUGCCGCUUUAUUGUGGCGUGACCGCGAGAACUUGUCUAAACCUUAUCAUCUAGAGGAAGGUGAAGUCGUAACA
rnacentral:rRNA from 1 species